rnacentral:rRNA from 1 species
AAAGGAAACUGGACCGACCCUUCGGGGAGCUUGAACAGGUACUGCAUGGCUGUCGUCAGCUCGUGUCGUGAGAUGUUCGGUUAAGUCCGCUAACGAGCGCAACCCUCGCUGUGUGUUACAAGUGUCACACGGAACUGCCGGUCAUAAACCGGAGGAAGGUGGGGAUGACGUCAAGUCAGCAUGGCCUUUAUAUCCUGGGCUACACACACGCUACAAUGGGAAGGGACAAUAGGUUGCGAAACCGCGAGGUGGAGCCAAUCCAGCAAAACUUCCCUCAGUUCAGAUUGCAGGCUGCAACUCGCCUGCAUGAAGUUGGAGUUGCUAGUAAACGCAGGUCAGCCAUACUGCGUUGAAUACGUUCCCGGGGCUU